GACGAACGCUGGCGGCGUGCUUAACACAUGCAAGUCGAGCGGAGAUAUAUUGAAGAUUUAUCGGAUAUAUAUUUUAGCGGCGGACGGGUGAGUAACGCGUGGGCAAUCUGCCUCAUACAGGGGGAUAACACUGGGAAACUAGUGCUAAUACCGCAUAAAAUAAUGAAGUGGCAUCACUUUAUUAUCAAAGGAGCAAUCCGGUGUGAGAUGAGCCCGCGUCCGAUUAGCUAGUUGGUGGGGUAACGGCCUACCAAGGCGACGAUCGGUAGCCGAACUGAGAGGUUGAUCGGCCACAUUGGGACUGAGACACGGCCCAGACUCCUACGGGAGGCAGCAGUGGGGAAUAUUGCGCAAUGGGGGAAACCCUGACGCAGCAACGCCGCGUGAAGGAUGAAGGUUUUCGGAUUGUAAACUUCUUUGAUGAGGGACGAUAAUGACGGUACCUCAAAAACAAGCCAACGGCUAACUACGUGCCAGCAGCCGCGGUAAUCAUACUCGUAC
rnacentral:rRNA from 1 species